rnacentral:lncRNA from 1 species
GGGGCAACCAGGGCGCAGAUUGGGGCAACCAGGGCGCAGAUUGGGGCAACGGCCGGCCCAGGUGGCGCUCAGGACCGACCAGCAACACCCCGCCCCUGCAGCUGCUUCUUGGCUUGGUGAUCAAGUGCACCAGACUGGGGUCAGUCCUAGGGGAUGUUUCUUGGCACGAGGGUUUCUCUGUGCCUUUGGAGGCUGUCCUGGAACGAGCUCUUGUAGACCAGGCUGGUCUCCAACUCACAGAGAUCUGCCUGCCUCUGCCUGCAGAGUGCUGGGAUUAAAG